CUGAGUUUAACAAGUCUUGCUGUUAGAAACUUGCAAACUAAUGUCCGACCUGUUAACUUGGAGCUUCUCUAACAGACUUAAAUCUGCUUCAGUGCUUUUCCUCGAGUGUUGUUGUGGGCCGGUACAAUUACUUUGAACAAAUUUGAGUGCUUAAAGCAGUCUCCAAAUGCGUCAAUAUUUUUUGAAUGGUUUUUAGAUCAAAAGGCAAUGAAUAAUGGAAGCAGUUUGGGGGCAUUACUAUUACGACCCGAGAGGUGAAAUUCUUGGACUGUCCUGUAAGACUAACUUAAGGGAAAGCAUUUGCCACAGAUGCUUUCAUUAAUCAAGAACGAAAAUUAAGAAGUUUGAGAAGGUGAGAAGGUGAUCGAAUACCGCCUCAGUUCUAACCAUAAAGGCUUCCAGCUAGAAAUUAGGUGUAGCUACCAUUAUGGCUUUGUGAAUCGCUUCCCGGGAAACCAAAGCUUUUGGGCUCCG
rnacentral:ncRNA from 1 species